rnacentral:rRNA from 1 species
GAUCAUGGCUCAGGAUGAACGCUAGCUACAGGCUUAACACAUGCAAGUCGAGGGGAAACGACAUCGAAAGCUUGCUUCUGAUGGGCGUCGACCGGCGCACGGGUGAGUAACGCGUAUCCAACCUGCCCAUCACUUGGGAAUAACCUUGCGAAAGUAAGACUAAUGCCCAAUGAUAUCCCACGAAGGCAUCCGAAUGGGAUUAAAGAUUUAUCGGUGAUGGAUAGGGGAUGCGU